GAUGAACGCUAGCUACAGGCUUAACACAUGCAAGUCGAGGGACCGGCGCACGGGUGAGUAACGCGUAUCCAACCUGCCCAUAAGUAGGGUAGAAACAGCAGAAAUGCGGACUAAUCACCAAUGCUUAUGGAUGGGGAUGCGUCCGAUUAGCUUGUUGGUGAGGUAACGGCACACCAAGGCUUCGAUCGGUAGGGGUUCGGGGAGGAAGCCCCCCCACAUCUGAACUGCGACACGGUCCUAACUCCGACGGGAGGGUGCAGUGUGUAAUACUGGUCACUGGGCGCUAGCCUGAACCAGCCGAGUAGCUUGCAGGAUGACUCCCUAUUGGUUGUAAGUUGCUUUUAUGCGGGGAUAGGUACCGCAUGAAUAAGGACCGGCUAAUUCCGUGCCAGCAGCCGCGGUAAUAC
rnacentral:rRNA from 1 species